AGUCCCCCUUCAGUCAAAUUACCCGAAACCAAGUGAUCUAACCAUGGGCAGUUUUAAGGAACGAACCGGUGGUUGUAGUAAAAACCUCGGAUGACCUGUGGUUAGGGGUGAAAGACCAAUCGAACUUGGAGAUAGCUGGUUUUCUGCGAAAACUAUUUAAGUAGUGCGUCCACAACAAGUCUUUGGAUGGGGAUCUAUCCUCAGGCUUUAGGGAUUAUUUUUACAUGGUAAAGUUCGAUCGCUCAGGAUUAACUAUGAAUGUAAACAAAUCUAAGUGGACAGACAGACAGUGGGCGACAAGGUCAACUGUCAAAAGGGUAAGCCCUAAUCAGAAGUUAAAGUCAUAGAUCAAUCUUGUUUUUUAUAAACAAUCAAGUGUAAAAGGGACACUGAAUUUAGACAAUGAAAAAGUAGGCUUGGAGCCAGCCAUCUUUGAAAGAUGACGUAACAGUUCACUCAAGAAAUUCUUUGAUCCCUAAAAUUAUGGUGGCUAAAGUUGAACUGAAACUCUGAGGGUAAAAUAAGCCUGGUAGCAGAAUGUACUGUCAAAUGUAUCAGUGAGAGCUGACAUCAGAAGUGAUAAUGUGAACAUGAGUAAGAAAUCGUAGGAUCACCCCCCCAAGGUUUCCUAUACUAAGAUAUAGGGUUAGACAGCCCCUAAGGUAACAACCCCAAGGUUGCGUCGAUGGGUUUUAAUAAUAGAAGCACAAAGUGCCAGGAAAUAAUUAUUAAAAGUUACACUGUACUAAACUAACACAAGUGGGGAAUAGUGAGGGGAAAAUUUUUCUUAAGGAACUCGGCCAAAUUUUAUAAUAUAGGGCCUCGACUGUUUACCAAAAACAUAGCUCUCUGCUAAUAUGAAAAUAGAAGUAUGGAGGGUGGUGCCUGCCCAAUGGUUGUAUCUAAAAGGGUCGAUAAAAGUUGACUACAUAAGGACAAUUGAAUGGCCGCGGUAACACUGACCGUGAUAAUGUAGCGUAAUCAAUAGCCAAUUAAUUGUUGGCCGGUAUGAAUGGCGUCACGAAGGCCCCACUGUCUUAAGAAAAUUCCCAGUGAAAUUGAAUUCGUAGUGAAGAUGCUACGCCCAAAUUGUUAGACGAAAAGACCCCAUUGAGCUUUACUGGAGACUUAUAUGGCUCGAACUUAAAUAAAUAGUUUAGAUUAUGUGGUGUUAACCGUUUAGGCUAAUGAAACSYYACUCUUUUAUUUUAAGAGAGCUAACCCCCUCAGAGGGCUUAAGGAACAAUGUAAGUUGGACAGUUUGGUUGGGGCGACCGCCUUUUAAAGAGUAACGAAGGUGAGCUUAAGGCACAUGAUUAAUAGCAAUGGCCUGACUGCGAGGGAUACGUUCCGAGCAGACACCUAACCGGUGGGCUAUAGUGACCCGUUAAUUUAGAGUGGAAUAGUUAACGAUCAACGAAUAAAAGUUACCAUGGGGAUAACAGCGUAAUAUCGUUAGAGAGUUUACAUCGACGACGAUGUUUGCGACCUCGAUGUUGAAUUGCGGCAUCCUGGGGUGCAGCCGCUCCCAAGGGUUGGUCUGUUCGUCCAUUAAAGCCGUACAUGAUUUGAGUUAAAAGCGUGGUAACACAGCUUGGUUUCUAUCUACAAUUUGAAGAAACAUCGAUAUAACUAUCUUCUAGUACGAAAGGAUCGAAGAAUUAGUGAUCCUCUUAUUUUUUAUAAGUUACGAUCAAUCUAU
rnacentral:rRNA from 1 species